AAGUUCUUGCACAUCAUGCUGCAUAAAAGAAUCAUAUGUAUCCCAUCCAAAGGAUUUAGUUAGUUCUUUUGUUGCUACACUGCUGUCACUGUACUGAAGCUUGUAAAAUAAGCUCUGCAGAGCCAAAGGGAUACUGGCAGAAGGCAUAUCAUUCUCGGUUGUAGGCAUAUGGUACACAGCCUUCCUGAAGUAAGGAAUAUGAUACAAAGUUUGAAGGAGAGAGUUCAUGUAGCACGUUGCUCCUUGGUUCUUGAGUCCAACAUAACCAGUUUCCUUUUUUGAAUCAUAUGUCCAAUAAUCCAAAACCCUUCGAACAAGAACCUCAGCUUCAACUAU
rnacentral:misc_RNA from 1 species